UGCUUGCACCGGGGAUUAGUGGCGAACGGGUGAGUAACACGUGAGUAACCUGCCCUUAACUCUGGGAUAAGCCUGGGAAACUGGGUCUAAUACCGGAUAUGACUCCUCAUCGCAUGGUGGGGGGUGGAAAGCUUUUGUGGUUUUGGAUGGACUCGCGGCCUAUCAGCUUGUUGGUGAGGUAAUGGCUCACCAAGGCGACGACGGGUAGCCGGCCUGAGAGGGUGACCGGCCACACUGGGACUGAGACACGGCCCAGACUCCUACGGGAGGCAGCAGUGGGGAAUAUUGCACAAUGGGCGCAAGCCUGAUGCAGCGACGCCGCGUGAGGGAUGACGGCCUUCGGGUUGUAAACCUCUUUCAGUAGGGAAGAAGCGAAAGUGACGGUACCUGCAGAAGAAGCGCCGGCUAACUACGUGCCAGCAGCCGCGGUAAUACGUAGGGCGCAAGCGUUAUCCGGAAUUAUUGGGCGUAAAGAGCUCGUAGGCGGUUUGUCGCGUCUGCCGUGAAAGUCCGGGGCUCAACUCCGGAUCUGCGGUGGGUACGGGCAGACUAGAGUGAUGUAGGGGAGACUGGAAUUCCUGGUGUAGCGGUGAAAUGCGCAGAUAUCAGGAGGAACACCGAUGGCGAAGGCAGGUCUCUGGGCAUUAACUGACGCUGAGGAGCGAAAGCAUGGGGAGCGAACAGGAUUAGAUACCCUGGUAGUCCAUGCCGUAAACGUUGGGCACUAGGUGUGGGGGACAUUCCACGUUUUCCGCGCCGUAGCUAACGCAUUAAGUGCCCCGCCUGGGGAGUACGGCCGC
rnacentral:rRNA from 1 species